AACGAACGCUGGCGGCGUGGAUAAGACAUGCAAGUCGAACGGGACAGACCGAGUAGCAAUAUUUGGAAUGUUCAGUGGCGAACGGGUGCGUAACACGUGGAUAACAUUCCGGAAAGCGGGGAAUAGCCCAGGGAAACUUGGAUUAAUACCGCAUGUGGCCGCAAGGCUAAAGACGGGGACGGCAAGGCCUGUCACUUUCCGAUUGGUCCGCGGCCUAUCAGCUAGUUGGCGGGGUAAUGGCCCACCAAGGUUACGACGGGUAGCUGGUCUUAGAGGACGACCAGCCACACUGGAACUGAGACACGGUCCAGACACCUACGGGUGGCAGCAGUCGAGAAUCUUUCACAAUGGGGGCAACCCUGAUGGAGCGACGCCGCGUGGAGGAUAAGGUCUUCGGAUUGUAAACUCCUGUCAUGCGAGAACAAGGUACUCAGGCUAAUAACCUGAUUGUUUGAUGGUACCGCAAGAGGAAGAGACGGCUAACUCUGUGCCAGCCGCCGCAGUAACAC
rnacentral:rRNA from 1 species